CGGGGGGGCAAGCGUUGUUCGGAAUUACUGGGCGUAAAGGGCUCGUAGGCGGCCAACUAAGUCGGACGUGAAAUCCCCAGGCUCAACCUGGGAACUGCGUCCGAUACUGGAUGGCUUGAAUCCGGGAGAGGGAUGCAGAAUUCCAGGUGUAGCGGUGAAAUGCGUAGAUAUCUGGAGGAAUACCGGUGGCGAAGGCGGCAUCCUGGACCGGCAUUGACGCUGAGGAGCGAAAGCCAGGGGGAGCAAACGGGAUUAGAUACCCCGGUAGUCCUGGCCCUAAACGAUGAAUGCUUGGUGUAACGGGUAUCGAUCCCUGUUGUGCCGAAGCUAACGCAUUAAGCAUUCCGCCUGGGGAGUACGGUCGCAAGGCUA
rnacentral:rRNA from 1 species